rnacentral:rRNA from 1 species
GGGUGUGAUCAUACUGGUGUUAAUGCACCGGAUCCCAUCAGAACUCCGCAGUUAAGCGCGCUUGGGCUAGAGUAGUAACCUCCCUGGAAGUCCUAGUGUUGCACCCU